rnacentral:rRNA from 1 species
CCUACGGGUGGCAGCAGUCGUGAAUCAUUCACAAUGGGGGAAACCCUGAUGGUGCGACGCCGCGUGGGGGAAUGAAGGUCUUCGGAUUGUAAACCCCUGUCAUGUGGGCGCAAAUUAAAAAGAUAGUACCACAAGAGGAAGAGACUGCUAACUCUGUGCCAGCAGCCGCGGUAAUACAGAGGUCUCAAGCGUGGUGCGGAAUCACUGGGCGUAAGGCGGGCGUAGGCUGUAUCGUAAGUCGUGUGUGAAAGGCGCGGGCUCAACCCGCGGACGGCACAUGAUACUGCGAGACUAGAGUAAUGGAGGGGGAACCGGAAUUCUCGGUGUAGCAGUGAAAUGCGUAGAUAUCGAGAGGAACACUCGUGGCGAAGGCGGGUUCCUGGACAUUAACUGACGCUGAGGCACGAAGGCCAGGGGAGCGAAAGGGAUUAGAUACCCCAGUAGUC